GACGGAGGGUGCUAGCGUUGUUCGGAAUCACUGGGCGUAAAGGGCGCGUAGGCGGCUGUGGCAGUCGGGUGUGAAAGCCCGGAGCUCAACUCCGGAACUGCACUCGAGACGCCACGGCUGGAGGCCGGAAGAGGAGAGUGGAAUACCCAGUGUAGAGGUGAAAGUCGUAGAUAUUGGGAAGAACACCAGUGGCGAAGGCGGCUCUCUGGUCCGAUACUGACGCUGAGGUGCGAAAGCGUGGGGAGCAAACAGG
rnacentral:rRNA from 1 species